UUUUGUUUUUGGAGAAGGGGGGGACAAGGGGGUGGGGUGCCAAACCCAGGACCCGCCCCGGGUGCCACAUGCCCUAGGUACGCCCCUGCCCUGAGGUACCACACUGGUAACUAGACCUUACUUUGAAUAUAUUUACCUGUGAAAUUCUGGGGAUUUGCCUUUCCUUUCUAGUUCACCCUGGUGGGAUUACUCCCUUGCAAGCUUGUGCAUUAAUCUCUAUAUGUUAAUCACCUUCUAUAACAACACUUUGAUAAACCUCAUCCAUUGUUUAAUUUCUUCUUCUCAGUAUGAUUUUUGUAUGUUGACUACCAGGUUCAAAAGACUGAGCUUAUAGCAAUGAUUGACAGGGAACUAAGAUGGGGGCACGUAAUUGCAAGAUAAAAUGGCUUUCUGCACUCAUUUGUUUUUACACCUCACUCAACUCUAAAUAUGAUAG